GCCUACAGCCAUACCAUCCUGACUGUGCCCAAUCUCAUCUGUUCUCAGAAGCUAAGCAGGGUUGGGCCUGGUUAGUAUGCC
rnacentral:rRNA from 1 species